CUGGGGGUUCAGGGACUGGGCAAACGACUGGUGGUGAGGCUCUGCUGUCGGAGAAUGCGAGAGGCGUCCCGAAUGAACCUGGCAGCCGUUCGUCGAUGCCCUCUUCGAGGGUGUCCCAGGUGUCAGCGCGCGACCUCCUGCUAAGCGAGCUGACCAAGAUACGAAAAGAGGAAGAAAAGGAAAAUGAGAUGAAGGAGAAGGAGGUCUCUCCUUGCUGAUUCCUAGGCGGAGAGAGUUUUGAUGACCGUUAUUUUGUUUCAAUACCUUUUGAUAAUUUCUGCCCUUGUCCUUGGUGCAGAAGCAUCGACUGGAAUUGGAGCUGGAGAAAGAGCUAGACCAGGUUCGGAGGAAGUACGAUUCGUUACUGCAAGACGUGGAGACGACAUUUGCGGAGAGGAAUAAGC
rnacentral:lncRNA from 1 species